rnacentral:rRNA from 1 species
GACAGAGGUGCCAAGCGUUAGGCGGAAUCACUGGGCUUAAAGCGUGUGUAGGCGGGUGCCUAAGUACCUUGUGAAAUCCCACGGCUCAACCGUGGAACUGCUGGGUAUACUGGGUGCCUUGGGUCAUCUAGGGGCUGCCGGAACAAAUGGUGGAGCGGUGAAAUGCGUAGAUAUCAUUUGGAACGCCAACGGCGAAAGCAGGCAGCUGGGGAUGCACCGACGCUGAGACACGAAAGCCAGGGGAGCGAACGGG